rnacentral:lncRNA from 1 species
GUCUCUCAGGUUUAACAAUAUAGGAUUAUGCACAACAUAAAUAGUUACACAGAGCCACUUGAACCAUGGUAAUACAUAAAAUUGUUCCAUUAUGUUGGCAUCCCGAACUACUUACACACAUCACCUUUGUACUGGAAGCAUCCAAGUGCAUAAAUGACACAGAAGUACAUAUAGACUAGUACAAAUUUGUUUCCUUUAUGUACCAGGUUUACACAAAAGGAACUGAAAUAAAACUUGGCAGCGGCAUAUAGUAGGCAUACUUCACAAGGAGAGCAUUUCAGGCGAUAGAGUACAAAACAGUCACCGGUCCAACUAGCAUGAACACAGAAAAUUCAUUUUGAUAGUAGGUGCCAGACUUCAAGAUUGAUGUUAUGCAUAAUGCAUGUCGAAAUGACUCCAGAGCCUCAUCCUGCAAGAAUACACCUAGGGAUUAAAUUACUGUGUUAAAUGGUUCACCAUAAUAAUUAUGUAAUACAAGUGGAGGAAGCAUUAUAGACCAUUUGAGCUGUGAACGAACAUUUUUAACUUGGUAGCCACCACAUCUACUUAUCAUGGGCCUUUUGGACGUUAUUUACCUGUAACGGGUAACAAAACCACAUAUGUAAAACCUUCGAGGACAUAUUUUUUAAAAGAUUAUUAAUUUACCUCUUCCACACCAGUACAUCAUUUUCAUCUUUGUGUGUUGUCCAUGAGCGAACUGAUAACUCAACCUCCUAAGCAUAUGAUCUGUAGAAUGCCACACCAUCCUCUCAUGUAUCAAAUUGCAUACCAUUUUUGGGAUGUAAGGCAUCAUCAAACUCGGGCUCAUAUGUUGAACCCUACAUAGGCACAUUAAUGAAUUGGUUUGGUUCAUACAAUGGGUUUCACGAAGUGAAUGAAAAAAAAACUUACACAGAAUGGAAGAUUUUGUUGUUGUUUUGGCUUGCUAUAGUUAUUCCAUGAUUUGUGAAAACUAAAUUGCGUCCUUGCAAUUUAAGAAAAAAUCAGUCAAAUGAUAUGAAUGUGCAUGGCAAACAUGAUGAGUACAACAAGGGAAU